UCCGUAGGGUCCGAGCGUUGUCCGGAAUUAUUGGGCGUAAAGGGCUCGUAGGCGGUUCGUCACGUCGGGAGUGAAAACUCGGGGCUUAACCCCGAGCCUGCUUCCGAUACGGGCAGACUAGAGGUAGGCAGGGGAGAGCGGAACUCCUGGUGUAGCGGUGGAAUGCGCAGAUAUCAGGAAGAACACCGGGGGCGAAGGCGGCUCUCUGGGCCUUACCUGACGCUGAGGAGCGAAAGCGUGGGUAGCGAACAGG
rnacentral:rRNA from 1 species